rnacentral:rRNA from 1 species
UACGGAGGGUGCGAGCGUUGUCCGGAAUCACUGGGCGUAAAGAGCUCGUAGGCGGCCUGUUGCGUCCGCUGUGAAAGCCCGGGGCUUAACCCCGGGUCUGCAGUGGAUACGGGCAGGCUAGAGGUAGGUAGGGGAGAAUGGAAUUCCCGGUGUAGCGGUGAAAUGCGCAGAUAUCGGGAGGAACACCGGUGGCGAAGGCGGUUCUCUGGGCCUUACCUGACGCUGAGGAGCGAAAGCGUGGGGAGCGAACAGG